rnacentral:rRNA from 1 species
CAAUGGGCGAAAGCCUGAUCCAGCCAUGCCGCGUGCAUGAUGAAGGCCCUCGGGUUGUAAACUGCUUUUGUACGGGAGGAAGGUGCUGGGGUUAAUAUCCCCGGGUCAUGACGGUACCGUAAGAAUAAGCACCGGCUAACUACGUGCCAGCAGCCGCGGUAAUACGUAGGGUGCAAGCGUUAAUCGGAAUUACUGGGCGUAAAGCGUGCGCAGGCGGUUUUGUAAGACAGAGGUGAAAUCCCCGGGCUCAACCUGGGAACUGCCAUUGUGACUGCAAGGCUAGAGUGCGGCAGAGGGGGAUGGAAUUCCGCGUGUAGCAGUGAAAUGCGUAGAUAUGCGGAGGAACACCGAUGGCGAAGGCAAUCCCCUGGGCCUGCACUGACGCUCAUGCACGAAAGCGUGGGGAGCAAACAGGAUUAGAUACCCUGGUAGUCCACGCCCUAAACGAUGUCAACUGGUUGUUGGGUCUUAUCUGACUCAGUAACGAAACUAACGCCUGAAGUUGACCGCCUGGG